UCCCCGUUCACCGGGGCAGUCCCCUCAGAGUGCCCGGCAUGACCCGGUAGCAACAGAGGGCAAGGGUUGCGCUCGUUGCGGGACUUAACCCAACAUCUCACGACACGAGCUGACGACAGCCAUGCAGCACCUGUGCACUAGCCCCGAAGGGAAGACGACUUUCGCCGCCCAUCCAGUACAUGUCAAACCCAGGUAAGGUUCUUCGCGUUGCGUCGAAUUAAACCACAUGCUCCACCGCUUGUGCGGGCCCCCGUCAAUUCGUUUGAGUUUCAGCCUUGCGACCGUACUCCCCAGGCGGGGCACUUACUGCGUUAGCGCCGGCACCGACGGGAUGUAUACCGCCGACACCUAGUGCCCAUCGUUUACGGCGUGGACUAC
rnacentral:misc_RNA from 1 species